rnacentral:rRNA from 1 species
CCCUUCGGGAAGUUCCGAGACAGGUGCUGCAUGGCUGUCGUCAGGCUCGUGCCGUGAGGUGUUGGGUUAGGUCCCGCAACGAGCGCAACCCCUAUUGCCACGUUGCUACCAGGUAAUGCUGGGCACUCUGGUGAGACUGCCCCGGUUAACGGGGAGGAAGGUGGGGACGACGUCAAGUCAUCAUGGCCCUUACGCCUAGGGCUACACACGUACUACAAUGGCGCAUACAAAGGGCAGCGAUACCGCGAGGUGGAGCCAAUCCCAAAAAGUGCGUCCCAGUCCGGAUUGCAGUCUGCAACUCGACUGCAUGAAGUUGGAAUCGCUAGUAAUUCGAGAUCAGCAUGCUCGGGUGAAUGCGUUCCCGGGCCUU